UCUGUGAUAUAUUUGUAUUAUUGUCAUAUAUAUUUGUCUAUAUAAUACUAGCUUGUAUAUUUAUAUUGAUUGAUAGACAUUGAAUCUUUUCAUAGAAAUAUGAAACUCUUCACCACACUAAAUACUUCUUAGGUAAAAUAUUUUCAAUUUGGAUAAUUUAUUAAAGAUACCCAUCCAUUUAAUUAUAAGAUAAAAGAAGUCAAAUUCUAAAAAAUGAAUAUGAUGGAGAGGAAAUGGAAUUUUUUAUCAUUCAUGAAAGUUAAAGAGUGGGUUUCUUCUUUCCCACCAACCGUGAUCCAAGAGAUUCCUUGCAUAUGACACCGGCCAAAAGUUUUGUCCCAACUUUUUGUAGGGUCUUCUUCAGCCCCAGACGAAAAGGAUCGGAUUUACAUGUUCAAUUUAAAUACCCUAAACCAUGUUUCAAAUGACCCAAACACCCUAUUCGACCCAAAUUUCAUUGACCUCACGUAUUGUUGUUUGGUUUGUCAUUGAAGUUUUAUAUGUGGUUUAUUUAUGUAAUUAAUCUCACUAUUAAAUAGGUGGGAUAAGGUUAGGAGAGUAAUAAUGGUGAACUUCAACGAAUAUAAUCAAUUAUAAGAUUUAGGAAAAAGAGAAAAAUACAAUAAAAAGAGCACAUUCUUAUUGGGAUAUUGAUUGCUCUAUAGAAGAGGGCAUAUGGACACAUUUACAGGAUGGGAUAGGGGUUCGUAUUGCAUCUUCCAUUGGCAGCAUACUGUGUAAUAACUCUCUUGGUCAAUUGGAGAAUUUUUUGGAUCAUAGAUGUUGAUAUCCAUCUAAAGAUAUAUUUGAGUUCUUCAAUACUUAGAUAUUGCCUACCAAUUAUUGGAUAGCUUCAAUCUUGAAGGGUUAUUUGCCCAUAACAUAGCAUGGUCGUUUAUUUUUUUUUUUCUCCUCCUUUAUUUAUUUUUGAAGUUUUCCAAUGUUAUGGAGAACCUGCCUAGGAAACCUACUUGGGAGGAUUUUUUGAAUCUAAAAUUUGAAAACUACUUAAAAAUCACUACAUGAUUAUUUUCAAACGAGAAAAUUUAAAUUUUGAGUUUUUUAACGCUUAGAUUUCAC
rnacentral:lncRNA from 1 species